UCUGCAGCAUUACGGCGUCCUGAUAAAUGCGGACCAAACUCUCGAUAUCCCGGGAACGAUCCGCGAGCGAGCCGCACGGCAGGCCGUGGACAGUUUAAAUCAACAAUCGAUAGUUUAAAUCUUUACCAUGACGCAACUCGAAGCAGUUGGCAGCGAGGUCAACCAAUCAGACGAACGGCCCUUUGCAAGGCCGAAUUGGGUCGAGAUUGAUGCCGACGCAAUGCUCCAUAACGUACGCAAAAUCCGCAGGCUGCUGAAGCCAGGAGCAAAGUUAUUUGCGACACUCAAAGCUAAUGCAUACGGUUUUGGCCUCUGCGGCGUAGCAAAGAUACUUGCGGACGUGGUUGAUG
rnacentral:misc_RNA from 1 species